GACAGAGGGUGCAAACGUUGUUCGGAAUUACUGGGCGUAAAGCGCGUGUAGGCGGUUAUGCAAGUCGGGUGUGAAAGCCCCGGGCUCAACCCGGGAAGUGCAUUCGAUACUGCGUAGCUAGAGUACUGGAGAGGAUGGUGGAACUCUCGGUGUAGAGGUGAAAUUCGUAGAUAUUGGGAAGAACACCGGUGGCGAAGGCGGCUCACUGGCCCGUAACUGACGCUCAUGCACGACAGCGUGGGGAUCAAACAGG
rnacentral:rRNA from 1 species